rnacentral:lncRNA from 1 species
GGCAAAAUCUGUAAUAUCUCCUGAGGCUGAGGAUUGCUAUAGGGAUCACACAAACUAUAAGGAAAUUCAAGAUGCUCUGCGUUCCCCGGAGAACAGUACAAGUGAUAGGCGGCAUAAGGGAAGCGAGCAGUGUCAUUGCGAUGGAUACGUGUUCCAUCGGGAAAUGUAUGGUAAGGAGGGCACACAUUGAGGUUGUUUGGAUGGCACCAUGAACUUAUGUUUGGAUUUAUGAUCAUUUCGCUGUAUCGAGUGACAUCUGAAGUAACAUUUCCAUCGCAAGGUUUCCCAUCGUUCUUCCAACAGCUUCCCAUGUCCAUCAGGUAGAACUGGCUGCUAGGACCCCCACCAUUGAUUACAUUUAAAGUGAACCUUACUUUGAAGUUUGGUGAUUCCGGGAUCUGCAUAUAGUGCACGUCAACUCCAUCACUCACAAGUUUGUUUGGCUUGUAAGUAAAACCUGCAUUAGUGCAUGAUAUAGACUAAUUUUUCAACCCCUAGAUGUCACUCGUGUAAAUCCACCUCCCCUGUGAAAUGUUGGCAGGAUUUGACCUACAUUUCAAUCUAUUUCUAUGCAUCAUAAUAUUUUAUCUACAUCGGAGGCUUGGCAGAAACAAAGAAAAGGUUUGGCACUCCCUUUGUUUGUAUUUGAACUGUUGAGGAAUUUGAAUUAUGUAUAUUAAUUAGAUCAAAGAAUGUAAAGGAG